UGUCUUCCAAGAAAAGCCGAAGUGUGUAACUCGUACCGUAAACCGACACAGGUAGUCGAGGAGAGUAUCCUAAGGCGCUCGAGUGAUUCGUGGUUAAGGAACUAGGCAAAAUGGUCCCGUAACUUCGGGAGAAGGGACGCUCUAAGAAAUUAGAGCCGCAGUGAAGAGGCCCAAGCGACUGUUUAACAAAAACACAGGACUCUGCCAAACUGAAAGGUGAAGUAUAGGGUCUGACACCUGCCCGGUGCUGGAAGGUUAAGG
rnacentral:rRNA from 1 species